AGUGAACGCUGGCGGUAGGCCUAACACAUGCAAGUCGAACGGCAGCACAGUAAGAGCUUGCUCUUACGGGUGGCGAGUGGCGGACGGGUGAGGAAUACAUCGGAAUCUACUUUUUCGUGGGGGAUAACGUAGGGAAACUUACGCUAAUACCGCAUACGACCUACGGGUGAAAGCAGGGGAUCUUCGGACCUUGCGCGAUUGAAUGAGCAGAUGUCGGAUUAGCUAGUUGGCGGGGUAAAGGCCCACCAAGGCGACGAUCCGUAGCAGGUCUGAGAGGAUGAUCAGCCACACUGGAACUGAGACACGGUCCAGACUCCUACGGGAGGCAGCAGUGGGGAAUAGUGGACAAUGGGCGCAAGCCGGAUCCAGCCAUACCGCGUGGGUGAAGAAGGCCUUCGGGUUGUAAAGCCCUUCUGUUGGGAAAGAAAAGCAGCAGGUUAAUACCCCGCUGUUCUGACGGUACCCAAAGAAUAAGCACCGGCUAACUUCGUG
rnacentral:rRNA from 1 species